ACGGGGGGUGCAAGCGUUGUCCGGAAUCAUUGGGCGUAAAGCGUUCGUAGGCUGUAUGCCAAGUCUGGUGUUAAAGCCCGGGGCUCAACUCCGGAUCAGCACUGGAUACUGGCAAACUAGAAUAUGGUAGAGGUAAAGGGAAUUCCUGGUGUAGCGGUGAAAUUCGUAGAUAUCAGUAGGUACAUCGGUUUUGUGGGCGCUUUACUGGGCCAUUAUUGACGCUGAGGAUCGAAAGCCGGGGGAGCAAAUGG
rnacentral:rRNA from 1 species